rnacentral:misc_RNA from 1 species
UACGCAGGCUUGUCUGUGGUUCCUGGUGGUGGUGCUACAAGGAAGCUGCUCCCGUUUUGUGGAGACUUUGGGUAGUGAUAAGCGGGCUGUAGUGGACCCGUAAGGUUUUCCUUCUCUCUAACACCUGUGUCAGCUCUCUCUCUGUAUCCUCAUCAUGGCUCUCCUACCACAGCCUGGCGACGCCACGAUGGCUUCGGCAAACGAUUCAAAAUGGCAGAAGGAUGCUGCAGACCAGAACUUUGACUAUAUGUUCAAACUACUCAUUAUUGGAAACAGUAGUGUGGGUAAAACGUCAUUCUUGUUUAGAUAUGCUGAUGACUCUUUCACAUCUGCGUUUGUUAGUACAGUGGGCAUAGAUUUCAAAGUAAAAACAGUGUUUCGGCAGGACAAAAGAGUAAAACUACAAAUCUGGGACACAGCUGGCCAGGAAAGAUACAGAACGAUAACAACAGCGUACUAUCGGGGUGCUAUGGGAUUUAUACUAAUGUACGAUGUCACAAACGAGGAAUCCUUUAACGCAGUACAUGACUGGUGUACUCAGAUCAAGACAUACUCAUGGGAUAAUGCACAGAUAGUUUUAGUGGGCAACAAGUGUGACCUUGAGGAUGAGAGGGUCGUUUCCACGGAGAGGGGCAAGCAGCUGGCCGACCAAAUAGGACUGGAGUUUUUCGAGACAUCAGCUAAAGAGAAUAUCAACGUGAAAGCUGUAUUUGAAAGAUUGGUAGAUAUCAUUUGCGACAAAAUGUCAGAAAGUUUGGAUUCUGACCCAUCCCUGAUCAACAGCCAGACAAAAGGAACGAGGCUGACAGAGAAUACCAACCCACAACAGGGAGGAUGUCAGUGUUAAGUGUCCGACAGGGGCAGAUAACUGAGGACACUGUGUGAUGUGUACGAUCUGUUUCUCACAUGAUAUGUUUACAAAAUAGGUGAUAGUGGUUAUUUCAUGUUUUGGACACAUGCACAUUUCUGCCCUCAUCAUGUGGAAAAACUGCCCCAUGUAGUUAAAGAAUCUUGUGAGCUAGCUCAGUUUAUGGGUAUGUCAGAUACCGCAGGGGUCAGUCAGUCCUGUGGUAGGUAUAAGAAGUGGUCAAAAGUAGAGCUGGUCAGUUCUUAUGGUCUGUACUGAUCAGUCCUGAAAUUAUCCUCAGUACUUGAUAAUGUUCUAGUGUACUGAUGACAGUAAUUUACACUUGUUUUCCUGGUCUGGUGUACUGGGGAAUGAUCAGUUCUAGAGAUUUGUCAGUACCUGGAACUGUGCUAAGGACUAGUUAGUACUGGGAUAUGUUAGUAACUUGAACUGGUCAUUCUUAUUGGUCAAUCAGCACUACAAAGUUUGUCAGUACUGAGACUUAGGUCCCUUAGACUAGAGAUUGAUUUGAGGAACAUGCUCAGAUCAGACAUGGGAGCUGGCCAGUCUGUAUAGCAGUUAUACCACACUUAGAGUUACUAUAGGUAUUCUGAUGUUAACAGGUACGACUACCUUUGAAAUAUUGACACAAAUAGUUGUACAAAGUCCUGAUCUGCCAAAAUGAAGUGGUUUUUGGAUUAUAAAUUGUCACUUUUAAAGAAUACCCAAUAUGAUCAUGUGAAGAUCCUUUGUCAACAUUUCAACUGUAAAUGUGUAAAAUGAUGAAUAUCCACAGUUUUUAGGAAAUUUGUUGUAUAUUGUCACUGCAUUUUUGGAACAUGCAUUAUCUCCCCUUGGAGGUCUGGCCUGCCCAUAUUCUUGAUUACCUCCCCUUCCAUGACUGUAAGAGGUGUGGCUUCCAUCUUGUAUCGGUCGACAAGGUAACCAUACGUGGAAAUCGUGCACAUCUCUUGUCUAUUGACAGCUUUAGAGCUCUGUGUUGUGUGGUUGCCAUAGUGACCCACCGGAUGUAAGGCACACUGGAGGAAGAUUGAUGAUCUGAGGUGAAAAUACUACAUUAUAUAUGUAGUUGUGUAGAUGGCGCUGUGUGUUCCAGGUAGAUGUUAUAUGUGUAUCAGAGAGCCACAUGUGGUUAGCUGAGUAUACCAUAGAUGUAUCAUUGUGCAUCCCAGUUGUGCUGACAAAUUAGACAAAUCACUUUAGAUUUCAUGUAAUAUUGCUAACAUUCAUCCUUGUAUAUUUUUCUCUCAUGCAUUCCAUUCAUUUUUGUUUUUCGAUUAUAAUGUAUUGUGCAUAUAAACCACCUACAUGCCAAAGGAUCAGACUUCCUUCUUUUCUCAGCUGUUAAAAAUCUUCAUUAUUAACCAACAGAUUACAUAAUUAUACAGUAAAACCUUAUGAGGGUUUUGGCAAUAUAUUGAAAGAGAUGUGAAUUUAAGGAAUUGUUUCUUUGAAGAAAGCAAAUUGGGACCUUGAAAGGAAACGAGAGUCAUUAUAUAGAGGUUUUACUGUAUAAAUACUGUAUCUAAAAAUUUUUUUUUGUAAAUUCCUUUAUAAGGAAUUGAGCUGUUAUUUCAGCAAGCUGGAAGUUCUGUCAAGGUGUUUGAGAAUUAUGUAUUAAUACCUACUGUGACAGAAAACUGUAUUCAAAAACAUAUUUUUCAUCUUAUGAAAUCCUCUGAUUUUGUCAGAACAUGUUAAAUAUCUGAACUGAAACAGAGAGAGUUCUGCCUUCAGUAUCAUGACAUAUACCAGACAAAUACUUGUCUGUGACACGAGAAAAAUGCAUUUACAUUAUCAUUGAUAAUUAAGUUUUCUUACUGCUUGAUUUUGUUACUGUUCUUUGUAUAUUUCUUUCUACAAUCUAUAUAAUUGUGUUCAUUGAGAUGCGUUCUUAAAAUGGACAGUUCAGUCCAUAUCUACACUGUACGUUGUAUUUGUUGAAAAGAGUUUUCAGCUGUUUCAUUUAAAAGAAAAACAGAAUCUGCUUGGAUAAAUGAAAUCCUGCUAUAGUCAUAUAUGAUUGAAGGACUUUAUUGCAGCUUAAUCCAACAGUUAGUAUGAGAUGGGAAGGUUAACGAAAAAAAGAGUACAAUCUCAAAAUUCAAUGGGGAAUGUGUUUCAUAGCAGAACAUGAAAAGAGUGCAAGUAAUAUCCACAAAAGUGCAAUAUAUCCGUGUUAUUUGUGACAAUAAAGUACCCCUGUCUGAUAUAGACAAUGUUGAAAUCCACUGUAAGUAGUCACUGUCUCGUCAGAGCAGUGUAUAAACUGCCAAGUUUGCCUCAAUUGUUCACUUUGAGGAAGACAUUUUGCUGCAAUAUCAAUAUGCGAUUUCAUGUGUGUUACUGUUGAAAUUAAUGCUUGAUUUUUCUUAUCUGGAUAGAUUUUCUUCUGAUGAGUAUUAAAGCAUAGGGAUUUAUUCAUCACAACUAAGAGCUGUUUCUCUCUCAAUUGUUUUAAAUGUCUGUGCUAGAUUUAUCUUGGUUGUGAAACAUGUACGGCAAAAGCAAAAUGUAUCUCGGUUGUCAGACAUGUAACAGACAGAUGUCUCUUGAUUGUGUUCCUUGUACACAUGGUGUUGAAAUCCACAUGGUAUUUAUAUAUAAUCCUGUUACUUGCCUUUGUUGUUAUAGCUCUAUAGAUUUAUUAGGUUGUGAAAUAUUUUGUUUUAUUUUACUUUUAAUAAUUUAACCUAUUCUUAUUGAAGAGACUAGUUAUUUACAAUCAUUCCAAAGUGUAGACCACGUCAGGCAACAUUUGUGUGCUGUGUAUGACCUGGACUACCUACCCUAGUGAACUCCAAAACAUUGUUUAAGAUGCGACUUAUUUUACAAACCUUUAAUUCAUUCCUUAUUAAAAUAUACAUUCUUUAGAAACUUGCAUUGUUUUAUGAUAUACCUUAUUAUACAAACCUUGAAUUCAUUCCCUAAACAGAAAAAGGUUCUGUGGAAACCUUGUGAGGUUAUACAUUAUUAUCAUGACCUUGACCCAUUACUCUUAGAGCUAAACUCUUUCACAAAACUUGUAUUACAUAAUUUCCAUUCCAAAUAUGUAACACAUCCAUUCCAAUUCACCCUACAAAAGGAAAUUUGUCUAAUCAAAAGACCCAGACAAAUACAGCUGAUUUUUGUUCAUUUUUUUUUUUUGUCAAAACUUCCCACAUAAUGUAAACUUUGGCUUUGAUUUUCCUUCUGAUCUUUAAGUCAUGUUAAAACAUUAAAUUCAUCAAGUGUACAUAGGCAUUUCUCCUGUUAGUAAAUAUAUAAUGGUCACAAUAUUGACUUAAAAUAUAACAUUUUUUCAAUCAACCUCCAUUAUGUAAUACUUGAUGUUAUUCAUAUGUAUUAUAACACUGAUUAAGUUUAAUGUUAUAGAAACCAAUGAGUGGUAUAAGUAUAGGGACCAUGAGAGGUCAGUGAGGUGUAAUAUUAUAAGUAUAGGGACCAUGAGUGGUCAGUGAGGUGUAAUGUUAUAAGUAUAGGGACCACUAGUGGUCAGUGAGGUGUAAUGUUAUAAGUAUAGGGACCAUGAGUGGUCGGUGAGGUGUAAUGUUAUAAGUAUAGGGACCAUGAGUGGUUAGCGAGGUGUAAUGUUAUAAGUAUAGGGACCAUGAGUGGUCAGUGAGGUGUAAUGUUAUAAGUAUAGUGACCACUAGUGGUUAGCGAGGUGUAAUGUUAUAAGUAUAGGGGUCAUGAGUGGUCAGUGAGGUGUAAUGUUAUAAGUAUAGGGACCGCCAUUGGUCAGUGAGGUGUAAUGUUAUAAGUAUAGGGACCAUGAGUGGUCAGUGAGGUGUAAUGUUAUAAAUAUAGGGACCAUGAGUGGUUAGCGAGGUGUUAUAUGUAACUACCAGUGCAUUGUAGAUCUUUGUUUCUGUUCUUUACAAAACAUUCCAAUCUUAGAUAUCAAUAUCUUAAACCUUUAAAAUAGAAUCUCGUAUCAUGUUUAUUGGGUAAAGUGUUAUUGAAAGCGAUUUUUAAACAUUCAUCGUGGUGUGAAGGAAAUAAAUGUACAUUGAAACCUGACUUUACCAACAUCUGACCUAACAGUCACCUGAUCUUACCGGUACCUGAUUUUAUCUACGGUAUUACCAUCUCCUGACUUUACUAACGCCAGACUUCAAUGGACGUCAUGUAAUAUCUGACAUGAUGAUCUUAAUUACAACACACCUUUAUAUCCGACUAAAUGAUUCAAUCCUAAUUAGAUGUUGGUAAACAUGUGUCACUGUAUAGAAUCUCUUUAUGUAUAUGUAAAGCAGGACCUGAGCUAAGAAAUAAUAUUCUUUUUUCAAGCGACAGUCCUUGCAACUAGAUUUAAUCUAUAAAUAUCAAUGUUCUCUUAUCAUGAUAUCCAGGUUUUUGGUCGUAUAUCACCAAUAUUUCCAACUGUUAGAGAAGUAGUUUGUAUUGACCAGGUGUUUGUAUCAUGUUCUGUUUUAAACAGCCAUCAUCAGUAAGUGUUAACACUUGUAGAGUAUUGUCAGAAUAUCUUUUUGUGGACUUGAGACGUCAGGUGGAUUCCCCAUGUGGUCGCCACCCCCUGUAUAAAGGUGUCCCUCAUGCACAGUCCGUUCCCUGUAAACUGUUGUAGUGGUAACAUAGAUCAUAGUCUCUCAUGCUCAUCUUAUGUGAUAGAUUUUUUUUGGUCUGGUUCCUAGUGUUACGACGAUUAUAACAUAUACUAAUUAAUAACAGUGGUGUAGAACCGACAAUAUUAUUACAAACACUAUUACAUAUGUAUCCAUAGACCCACUCUUAUAUUUUCUUUGUCUAGAACUGUCUCUAGUGACAGUCUGAUAAUAAAUCGUUGAAAGUCCA